rnacentral:rRNA from 1 species
CAAUAGCGUAUAUUUAAGUUGUUGCAGUUAAAAAGCUCGUAGUCGGAUUUUGGCUGAGAACGAACGGUCCGCCGUUAGGUGUGCACUGUUUGGUCUCAGCUUCCUGGUGAGGAGGUGUGCUUCACGGCCACUUAGUCACCGUGGUUACUUUGAAAAAAUUAGAGUGUUCAAAGCGGGCUUACGCUUGAAUAUAUUAGCAUGGAAUAACACCAUAGGACUCCUGUCCUAUUUCGUUGGUCUCGGGACGGGAGUAAUGAUUAAGAGGAACAGUUGGGGGCAUUCGUAUUUCAUUGUCAGAGGUGAAAUUCUUGGAUUUAUUAAAGACUAACUUAUGCGAAAGCAUUUGCCAAGGAUGUUUUCAUUAA